GAGGCUGCGAUAUGGGGAGCUGGCCAGGCUGUGAGGGACGGAGCAGAGUUGGCUUGUGGCUCCUUGUGGCCCCCUCCAGCAGCUUCCUCCUCACAGUCUGCACAGCUCUCCGUCUCUUGUCCUC
rfam:Physcomitrella patens subsp. patens PHYPAscaffold_89 genomic scaffold, whole genome shotgun sequence.